AGUGAACGCUGGCGGUAGGCCUAACACAUGCAAGUCGAACGGCAGCACAGUAAGAGCUUGCUCUUACGGGUUGCGAGUGGCGGACGGGUGAGGAAUACAUCGGAAUCUACUUUUUCGGGGGGGAUAACGUAGGGAAACUUACGCUAAUACCGCAUACGACCUACGGGUGAAAUCAGGGGAGCUUCGGAACUUGCGCGAUUGAAUGAGCCAGUGUCGGAUUAGCUAGUUGGCGGGGUAAAGGCCCACCAAGGCGACGAUCCGUAGCUGGUCUGAGAGGAUGAUCAGCCACACUGGAACUGAGACACGGUCCAGACUCCUACGGGAGGCAGCAGUGGGGAAUAUUGGACAAUGGGCGCAAGCCUGAUCCAGCCAUACCGCGUGGGUGAAGAAGGCCUUCGGGUUGUAAAGCCCUUUUGUUGGGAAAGAAAAGCAGCAGGUUAAUACCCCGCUGUUCUGACGGUACCCAAAGAAUAAGCACCGGCUAACUUCGUG
rnacentral:rRNA from 1 species